rnacentral:misc_RNA from 1 species
GAUGAAGAACGCAGCGAAAUGCGAUAAGUAAUGUGAAUUGCAGAAUUCAGUGAAUCAUCGAAUCUUUGAACGCACAUUGCGCCCGCCAGUAUUCUGGCGGGCAUGCCUGUUCGAGCGUCAUUACAACCCUCAGGCCCCCGGGCCUGGCGUUGGGGAUCGGCGGAGCCCCCCGUGGGCACACGCCGUCCCCCAAAUACAGUGGCGGUCCCGCCGCAGCUUCCAUCGCGUAGUAGCUAACACCUCGCGACUGGAGAGCGGCGCGGCCACGCCGUAAAACACCCAACUCUUCUGAAGUUGACCUCGAAUCAGGUAGGAAUACCCGCUGAACUUAAGCAUCUCAAUAAGCGGAGGA